rnacentral:rRNA from 1 species
UACAGAGGUCGCAAGCGUUAAUCGGAUUUACUGGGCGUAAAGCGUGUGUAGGUGGUUGUGCAAGUCGGUUGUGAAAUCCCCGGGCUCAACCUGGGAACUGCUUCCGAGACUGUGCGACUAGAGAUCGGUAGAGGGCGGUGGAAUUUCCGGUGUAGCGGUGAAAUGCGUAGAUAUCGGGAGGAACACCCGUAGCGAAGGCGGCCGACUGGACCACACCUGACGCUGAGGCGCGAAGGCCAGGGGAGCGAACGGG